rnacentral:rRNA from 1 species
GAUAAACGCUGGCGGCGUGCAUGAGACAUGCAAGUCGAACGAAGGAUCGGGCUUGCUCGAUCCUUAGUGGCGGACGGCUGAGUAACGCGUAGGUGACCUACCCCGAAGUGGGGAACAACUGCCCGAAAGGGUGGCUAAUACCGCAUGUGGUCGCACGUUCAUUCGUGCGAGUAAAGCCGCAAGGCGCUUCGGGAGGGGCCUGCGUCCGAUUAGCUCGUUGGUGGGGUAAUGGCUUACCAAGGCGACGAUCGGUAGGUGGUCUGAGAGGACGAUCACCCAGACUGGGACUGAGACACGGCCCAGACUCCUACGGGAGGCAGCAGUCGGGAAUUUUGCUCAAUGGGGGAAACCCUGAAGCAGCAACGCCGCGUGAGGGAUGAAGGCCUUCGGGUUGUAAACCUCUUUUGUCAGGGACGAUGAUGACGGUACCUGGCGAAUAAGCCACGGCUAACUACGUG